AUAUGUGUGUGUGUGUGUGUGUGUAUGUAUAUGUAUGUGUGUGUGUGUGUGUAUGUAUAUAUAUAUAUAUAUACACACACACACAUUU